AGCCAAUGAAAUGUAAGCAGAAGUGACAUAUGCAGCAUGACCAGUGGAAGCUUCGAAGAGCUAUUGCCAAUUUCCACCCUCUCUCUGGAAACUGUCAUUAGGGUUAGGGAAACUGUCAUGAGAUCUGCAUAUUUUAGAUAGAGGCUGCUUGCCUUAUUUGGGCACCUAAUGAAAAAGACAUGGAGGCCAGGUGCGGUGGCUCAUGUCUGUAAUCCCAGCACUUUGGGAGGCCAAGGCGAGUGGAUCACCUGAGGUCAGGAGUUCGAGACCAGCCUGACCAACAUGGCAAAACCCCGUCUGUACUAAAAGUGCAAACACAAAGGGAACUGCGUGGCUUGUUUCUACCUGAACAUUGUCAAGUGAUUUCAUCCUUUGAAACACAGUUGUGAAGUGUGUCCAGCAGUCUGAGAACAAGAAGAAGAAGAAAAUCUAAUCCUUCAGGGUGUCUGUGUGCCAGCCCUGCUCUCAGCACUUCCCAUGUGGAACUCCUUUACUUCUCCUAACAACUCCAUGACAUGGGUUAGACUGUGAUUGUUCCCAUAUUGUUGGUAGGGAAACUGAGGCAUGCAGGUGUUACAGAGCUCUCUCAAGUGGCAAGCUUUCUGGGUGGUUACAGAGUGGCAGAGCUGGGGUAUCCCAUGAUGUCACCACACUGCUAUAUGGAAAAGAACAUUAAUCGAGCACCUACGUGCUUGAUUCUCUUAAUUCUGUGACUGAACUCUCAAAACACCCUGGACACAGAGGGAUUGAAAUGCAUAACAAUAGAGAUGAAACACGAAGAGUGAUAAAUGAAGAUUGAGUGUGCACACCUUCUGGAGGAGCCCUGAUUGAGUAUUUUAAAAUACUACUAAAGUCAUGCCGUGUGACUUCUGAAGCUAGCUCCUAAGAAGUCCUUGCAGCUUCUGCCUGCGACUCUUAGAACACUUGCUUUGAAGGAUGCCAGAUGCUGUCUUAAAAGUCUGAGCACUCUGAAACCAUCAUGCUGUGAGGAAGCCCAAGCUAACCACAUGGGCAAAAAAGAUGCCCUCUGACUGCCACCAUUUGAGACACUCUAAUUAAGAACUGCCUCAUUGAGCCCAUGAGGCCCUGUGAAUGAUAAUAAUAAAUUGUUUUUAACCAC
rnacentral:lncRNA from 1 species